UGACGUGCAAACCCCCCCUAUAUAUGGGCC
rnacentral:piRNA from 2 species